GACAGAGGCCUCAAGCGUUAGGCGGAAUCACUGGGCUUAAAGCGUGUGUAGGCGGAUCGUUAAGUGCCUUGUGAAAUCCCACGGCUUAACUGUGGAACGGCUGGGCAUACUGGCGACCUUGGGCCACCCAGGGGUCACCGGAACAGGCGGUGGAGCGGUGAAAUGCGUAGAUAUCGGAAGGAACAUCAGUGGCGAAAGCGACUUCCUGGACCAAUACUGACGCUCAUGUGCGAAAGCGUGGGGAGCAAACAGG
rnacentral:rRNA from 1 species